AUCAGUGCAAUCCCUUUGGAAU
rnacentral:miRNA from 1 species